UGAAGGUUGAGUUGCUCACCAAUGCCAGUGACUUAAUCAAUCAUAUCUAUGUAAUUAUGCCUCCAUAAAAUCCCAAAAUGACUAAUUUCAAAGAACUUCUCGGUUAGUGAAAACAUUUGCAUGCCAGAAGGCGCUCGCACUCCAACUCAGCAGUUAAGAGAUCAGAGUAACUUUUGAGCUAAUGAGGACACUAGGUGACAUCAAGCCCAAACACUUUCUGAGCAAGUGGCUGGUCCUGAGAGGUGAUCGAGGUCACACAACUAUAAGAUAUAAGCAGGAACUGAAAAAUCACAUCUCC
rnacentral:lncRNA from 1 species